ACAACAAGGACAAUCAGGGCAGUCACUCUUGUGCUCUGUCCAGGUGGCAUAGGGGCGCAGAGGACACCGCUCCAUGAUAUAUAGUCCUUUUGCACAAUUUUGGAGAGAAAGCCAGGUUUUGAGUCUGUCCCUGUAUAUUCCCACAGCUUCUCAGAGUCUUGCAGACAAUGACUGAGGAGACAAACUAUGCAGAAAAUAACU